ensembl:lncRNA
GGAGAACUUCUCAGUCCCCAGAGUUCUUGCAAAAGUUCCAGGACCCACUCUCUCCUGGACUGACUUGGGUCAUGUUCUCUCCCUGAACCAAUCACUGUGACUUGGAAAAAGUGAAAAUGUGUUCUGAUUGAUGAGGGCUAGUUCACCUGCCCAGCCCUGGAGCCAACUCGAGUCCUCGGACCAAGCAGAAGGGCAGAUGAAGGUGCUUUCCACAAUACAACUCACUUCUCUCCUGGAAGCCCUGCCAAUGUUCUCACUCCUCUCUCUGCACACACACCCCAACUGGCCCACACUGCACAGGGGGAGACUGUUGUCCCCAUGGCUCCUCUCACUGCUCCCUGUCACAAACCAAAGUGGCCAGAGUGUUCAAGCUGAGGAAGCUGCAGCAGGAAGAGCAGUGGAGUCAACCAAAGUCCUGAGUUCUAGCCCCUCCUCUGUCACCAACCAGCCAUGAGACCUUUGGCAAGUCAGCCAUGUCUCACUUCUCAGUCUCCCCAUCUGGUCAAAAGUAAAAACAAAAGCAGAAUCAUGGAGGAUUCUUCGGUCUCUAAAGUCACUGCCCUGGAAUAAGGCAGUGACUGCCUUAGUGACUGCCUUGCUAAGAGGACCAGAUCCAGAUCUUUUGGGUGUUAGAGCUUCUUAAGUUGUAGAAAACAGAGUCUAAUUCUAGUGAAGUUAAGCACAAGGGGCACUGGGUCUUAUAAGAUUAAAGGGAGUUUGGAGAGCCAGGCAUGGGAAUGUCAGAACCCAGAGCUGACCCAGAGGCAGGCGUCCAGAACCACACUUGUCCCAUAGCAGGAGCAUCUGACCAGGACCCCACCUCUUGGGUGCAGUGGAGCACCAGCCAUUUUCAGGAGUCCUGUCUCAUUUCCAAGGAGGAAUCACCUACUUGGCCUAGAUUGGGUCAUGGGUUGGCUGGACCCUGGUGACAUUUCCAUCAGACUGCAUCCAAUAAGGAGGAAACAAUGCCUGAAAGGAAAUCAGAGGGCCCUUCAGAAGAGAGGUAGAUCCAGAAAACAUUUGUGAAAGAGGAGAGACAAAUGCUGCCAUUAGGUGAGAAGCCCCUCUUUCUCCAAGAGUCUACGUUCCAACCAGCCUGACCACAUGUGCACCCAUAGAGAACUUCCAAGGUCACAGCACGCCGACUCAGCCUCCGAGCGAUAGCUGUAUCUCUACCUGGCUCUCCGCUGUCUUCUGCAGUUUUCCAUGAAGACCAAGAGUCCCUUGGUCAUUAACCCCCGACCAAGUAACUUAAAGAGAAACCUUCUGCAUAGCUAAUGAGCUUAGCUAAGCAGACAUCACAGGUUUUUUAAGCACCCCGAAGCAUAUUAUAGCAUCCAACUGUAAGUACUGGAGAAGUCUAGAUGGAUCCAGAAUCUUGGCACUGAGACUAUUUUCUGGAUCCACCCAUAAUCCCCCAAAACAAGCAGCAAAAGACAAGACAAAUGCCAAAUGACACAAAUCCUACUUAUUAGGGGAGUGGUGAAAGUAAAUAUUGUGACAUCAAAAGGAAUGCAAGCUAGAGUUGCUAGAUAGCCCAUCUGUAUGUAAGGAAUGCAGAAUUUUCUUGAGCAGUAACAGGAUCUAAUCCAAAGAAAAAGGAGGACAAAACACUAGCCAAGGGAGACUCGACUUUAGAUCCCUACCUCUUAAUGGGAGCCCAGGGUGGCUUCUCUCAACUCAGACUGAGCAGUCCCCAAGAAGCACAGGCCCUGUGACUGGAGAGUUCAGAGCGUUCACGGGCUGCUAUUUGAAAUUACUCCUUAACCUUGUUAAUCAGGCCUCUGAAUUGGGAGUAAAGUUCCUGCUUGCAAAAGGGUUUGCAAAGUAAAAUAGAUUGCAUAAAUCCUAUUUAAGGGAAUUACAAGAAUGAACUGAUUUUAAGGACUUGAGCACAUUAAUCGCUGGAAUAAAGAUGGAUACAACCAAUUACCAGUGGGUUUCAGAGAGUUUCCAAAGUGGUCCACCAGGGCCUCCCUCAGAAACACUUUGUCAGCAAUUAGUGUUGCGUGUAUUUGAAAUUCCAUGUAAGACUAGUUAAGGGAUUUUUUAAAAAGUAACUCAGAUUGGCCUACCCAUCAACGAGGGAUUUAUUCUGCUUUAAACAAAUCCAAUCUAUGAAGAAAACCUAGCUUUAUAAAAUAAAUAAUAUACUAUAAAACAAUUUGCUGUGAUAUUCCUAUAAGCAGGAAGUUCUCC